CUGAAAAAAGAGGAAUGAAUAGAAACGAAUAAGAACAUGUCAAAAAAGAAACAGGGUUGUGAGUAGUUGUCAGUUGUUCUCUAUGUAAUGGAGAUUUGACUAAAACGAAAAAAAAAAAUGAUGACAUCACAAUUACAAAACAAACAUUCGAUCCCCUAACUUUCUGUUUCCAUUAAAUGCAUAGCCUCUGUGUAUAUUUUCAAACUGCAGCGUGUCAGUUAGCGUUUGAAUCCAGUAGCACUUCAGAAAAAUCAUUACACAGUUGCUGGCAAACGACGCAGAGCUGCACUCCAAGUGUGAGAUGCUGCUGACUGAAGCCUGACGUCCAGCUAAACCCUCUCCCAGCUGGUCCAAACCCAAGCUCCAUCACGGAUGCCUCCAGUAAUCGGCCUCUUUUCCCUACGCUGGACUAGACAAGAACGAAACGCCUCGACAUGUUGACAGUACUUUCCUGCAUGAAACUACACUAUCAAGUUACAUGUGCGGCACCUAAGGAGCCCAUCAGACCGCAGCUUGGUAAAGGGAGCACAGUGGAACACGGCGGAGGUGGGGCAUCUUUCAAUGCAGUCUGGCAGCAGCACAAGACCAAACACUUGCUCAAAGAAAUGCUCUGAUUGGAGCCACUGAACCUGCACCAACGGGUGAAAAAGACCUGGCUCACCGAAAGAAAGGCCUCAGGGUGCAGGGAGCAAGGUGGAUGAGAGGCGAGGGAGCUAUAUUUACCUCUUUUGCUUCGUCUCGGUAACCUAACGGACCUCAGCAGCAAUGAAUAAGGUCAUUCUGGGAAGGGACAGAGUGGCCAAUUCACAAACUAUGGCCUCGUACAAACAAGGGGCACAUUAGAAACUGGAAUCCGUACCUGUCAGAUGCCAGUUCAAACAUGUCAGAGAGGAGAAAAUGCACCGCUUUCACGCACAUACCUUGUGGUUUUUUAGUUUUACAAGCCUGGAUGUACUGUAAAAGGCCUCCACCUGUCCUUUCACUGGCGCAGACGUGAGAGAUUCGUCUGAUAUGAGCUGUUGUGGGAAAAGGGGCUCCACUGGCGCAGAACACAUAAAGACGCUGGCUUUCAUCACUGAGGAUAAUUUGUAUGUCUAUUCUCCUGAGUGUUGGCAGCCGUCCUGUUUCACCAGGGAGUAAAGUGAACACUGAAAAGUGGACCCAGGUGUAGGACAGUAGAGGGAUCUCUGCCUCCAGCCUCUCUGGUGUCCAGAUUGACAUUAACGGUAACUUUGUGGCCCUACCAUUGAGAAAUAAGCCGCUUCCCCCCUGUUCCUCUGUCUCCCUCUGAGCGACUCCAGACCGGAGCUGGCUGAGGUCACAGUUAGAUGUCCUUCCCACUUCCAUGCCUCCCAGAAAAAGACCUGCCUCCAUUUAUUGCUGAGGAAAGAAGGGCUUGCAUUAUAUCCAGGGAGCUGUGCCCCUAGAACAGUAACCUGAGACUUGUAGAUCCUCUGACCUGAGCAUUUUUCCAGUUCUUCUCAUUCUUUUCUUAAAAGAAUGAUUCCCCUGCUUUAAAAACUUGCAAUGUGCGAUUUAUGGAUAAUGACACUACUGGACUCCUCAAAAAUACAAUAAUAAAGUCUGUGUCUUCCGUUUUUCCAGUCUCCUCUCUCUUACACCCUGGCUCGGUGUCUUUCUGGGCUGACAGCUUAUGGUAAAUCUUUUUAACAGAUGGAAACAAUAUUCCUGGACCCAGAUCUGC